UACGAAGGGGGCUAGCGUUGUUCGGAAUCACUGGGCGUAAAGCGCACGCAGGCGGAUUGAUAAGUCAGGGGUGAAAUCCCGGGGCUCAACCUCGGAAUUGCCUUUGAUACUGUCUGUCUUGAGUCCGGGAGAGGUGAGUGGAAUUCCUAGUGUAGAGGUGAAAUUCGUAGAUAUUGGGAAGAACACCGAUGGCGAAGGCAGCCAUCUGGACCGACACUGACGCUGAGGCGCGAAAGCGUGGGGAGCAAACAGG
rnacentral:rRNA from 1 species